rnacentral:tRNA from 1 species
GGAGGAGUGGCUGAGUGGUCGAAAGCGGCGGUCUUGAAAACCGUUGUACCGCAAGGUACCGUGGGUUCGAAUCCUACCUACUCCG